CCCGACCGAGACCGAAUCUAAUCCCAGUUAUGAGAAUCCAGCAGACGAACCUAAUUACAUAAACACUGAGAGCGACGCUGAAGACCCUGGAUACAUAAUCGUUCUACCUGAAGGAGAGACUCCUCAGACCAAUCAGAGCCGAGCGUCCACGCCUAG